rnacentral:rRNA from 1 species
GGUUGUCGUCAGCUCGUGUCGUGAGAUGUUGGGUUAAGUCCCGCAACGAGCGCAACCCUCGACCUUAGUUGCCAGCAUUCAGUUGGGCUACUCUAAGGUGACUGCCGGCUAAAAGUCGGAGGAAGGUGGGAUGACGUCAAAUCAUCAUGCCCCUUAUGACCUGGGCUACACACGUGCUACAAUGGCAUAUACAAAGAGAAGCGAACUCGCGAGAGCAAGCGGACCUCAUAAAGUAUGUCGUAGUUCGGAUUGGAGUCUGCAACUCGACUCCAUGAAGUCGGAAUCGCUAGUAAUCGUAGAUCAGAAUGCUACGGUGAAUACGUUCCCGGGCCUU